rnacentral:rRNA from 1 species
GAUGAACGCUAGCUACAGGCUUAACACAUGCAAGUCGCGGGGCAGCAUGGGGGUUGCUUGCAAUCCCCGAUGGCGACCGGCGCACGGGUGAGUAACGCGUAUCCAACCUGCCCUUCACCACGGGAUAACCCGGCGAAAGUCGGACUAAUACCGUAUGUUGUCCAUUGACGGCAUCCGAUUUGGACGAAAGGUUUGGCGGUGAAGGAUGGGGAUGCGUCCGAUUAGCUGGACGGCGGGGUGACGGCCCACCGUGGCGACGAUCGGUAGGGGUUCUGAGAGGAAGGUCCCCCGCACUGGAACUGAGACACGGUCCAGACUCCUACGGGAGGCAGCAGUGAGGAAUAUUAGUCAAUGGGCGUAAGCCUGAACCAGCCAAGUAGCGUGCAGGAUGACGGCCCUAUGGGUUGUAAACUGCUUUUAUGCGGGGAUAAAGUGGCCCACGUGUGGGUUUUUGCAGGUACCGCAUGAAUAAGGACCGGCUAAUUCCGU